GAUGUAUACGGACUGACGCCUGCCCGGUGCUGGAAGGUUAAGAGGACGGGUUAGUACUUCGGUGCGAAGCUCAGAAUUUAAGCCCCAGUAAACGGCGGUGGUAACUAUAACCAUCCUAAGGUAGCGAAAUUCCUUGUCGGGUAAGUUCCGACCUGCACGAAUGGCGUAACGACUUCUCCACUGUCUCAACCACGAACUCGGCGAAAUUGCACUACGAGUAAAGAUGCUCGUUACGCGCAGCAGGACGGAAAGACCCCGGGACCUUUACUACAGCUUGGUAUUGGUGUUCGGUACGGCUUGUGUAGGAUAGGUGGGAGACUGUGAAGCCGGCACGCCAGUGUCGGUGGAGUCAACGUUGAAAUACCACUCUGGUCGUUCUGGAUAUCUAACCUCGGUCCGUGAUCCGGAUCAGGGACAGUGCCUGGUGGGUAGUUUAACUGGGGCGGUUGCCUCCUAAAAGGUAACGGAGGCGCCCAAAGGUUCCCUCAGCCUGGUUGGCAAUCAGGUUUUGAGUGUAAGUGCACAAGGGAGCUUGACUGUGAGACAGGCAUGUCGAGCAGGGACGAAAGUCGGGACUAGUGAUCCGGCGGUGGCUUGUGGAAGCGCCGUCGCUCAACGGAUAAAAGGUACCCCGGGGAUAACAGGCUGAUCUUGCCCAAGAGUCCAUAUCGACGGCAUGGUUUGGCACCUCGAUGUCGGCUCGUCGCAUCCUGGGGCUGGAGUAGGUCCCAAGGGUUGGGCUGUUCGCCCAUUAAAGCGGUACGCGAGCUGGGUUUAGAACGUCGUGAGACAGUUCGGUCCCUAUCCGCUGUGCGCGUAGGAAACUUGAGAAGGGCUAUCCCUAGUACGAGAGGACCGGGAUGGACGAACCUCUGGUGUGUCAGUUGUUCUGCCAAGAGCACGGCUGAUUAGCUACGUUCGGAAGUGAUAACCGCUGAAAGCAUCUAAGCGGGAAGCACGCUUCAAGAUGAGGUUUCCAUGCACCUAGUGUGCGAGAGGCUCCCAGCUAGACUACUGGGUUGAUAGGCCAGACGUGGAAGCACAGUAAUGUGUGUAGCUGACUGGUACUAAUAAGCCGACAACUUGACUCA
rnacentral:rRNA from 1 species